CUGACCAGUCCCAAAUAGGACGAAACGCGCGUC
rnacentral:hammerhead_ribozyme from 1 species